rnacentral:rRNA from 1 species
AAAGGUUCCCUCAGAAUGGUUGGAAAUCAUUCGUAGAGUGCAAAGGCAGAAGGGAGCUUGACUGCGAGACCUACAAGUCGAGCAGGGACGAAAGUCGGGCUUAGUGAUCCGGCGGUGCCGUAUGGAAGGGCCGUCGCUCAACGGAUAAAAGCUACCCUGGGGAUAACAGGCUUAUCUCCCCCAAGAGUCCACAUCGACGGGGAGGUUUGGCACCUCGAUGUCGGCUCGUCGCAUCCUGGGGCUGAAGUAGGUCCCAAGGG